CGAGGCGGGGGCGGGGCCGGGCGCCAGGGGCCGCGGGUCUGCGGCGCUUACAGGGGCCACCCUGGGCGGAAACGCCUGGUGAGCCCUCCCGCUUGCAGCCUCGCACCGCCCGGCAAGCCAGGCUCCUCCUGCACGCACGAAGGAGGAUUCCACAGGAACGAACCACGACCCCCAAGGUUUCGCAGUUGCAAGACCGCAGCCUAGGAUCGAAACCCCGACCCGGCUGCAGAGUCCCCCUGCGGUUUGGCCGGGCCUCAAAGGCCUGAAACUCCUGACCCAUCGCCCAGCCAGACCGAGGGGACGUUUCAUGCCAGCCCUGUCACAGCCCCCAGCGACGAUCCCGAAGCUUCGGUGAUUUGACCGUACCCAGAGAGAACGGCCAGCAGGCCCGCGGCUGAUGGUUGCUUCUGUGUUUCCUGCGUGGUAGGAGGGAAGCAGUGGAAGUUCCAUCUUCGUCAAAGAGGAACCUGUCUGUGACAUCUGAAACACUGCACUAAAGGCUGCCAGUGUGCCCUUCGGGCUCUGAAACCCGGCCCAGUGCAAUCAAGACUGUGGCCGGGACCAGGGCUGAGAGCUGUUUGUCAGGAGAGAUUCGGGCCAUUCCCUGGGGUUUGGGGUGGAAGGGUGAUGUUACCAAGAUUGGAAGGAAGGUCACAGUUUCCCUGAGGUGUCCCUGGCCCAACUGCAGGAGGGCUGACUGACAUCUGCCAGUAUGCACAGCCAGUCCCUGGAUGCCCAGCAUGGCCCAGGUCUGUGUGACCCUGUCUGGAGUCCCCAGACUUGCUAUGUCCCUACCCAGGCCCUGGUGGGCUCAUGACCUCCCCAGUCCGGUUCUGAUGCUGCCUGUCCCUGUGAAGCCCACUCCAGUGUUCAUAUCACCAGGGCUGGGCUCAGGCCUGUGUCCUUGCCCCUCUCUCCAGGGCAUCUUGGGUCUCCCUUGGUGACAGUACCUGCACCCUGCAGGCAGCCUGCGCUGGCUGUGAACCACACUGCCGCCCACUUCCUCUUCUAUGUUCCCGCUCUGUCCACAGUCCCCUCUGAACACUCCCGUGAAGCAGGUUCUAGGAUCAUCUCCAUUUUAUAGAAGGGGAGAUUGAGGAUCAGAGACAUGCAGUCAUUUGCCCAAGGACACACGCAGGAAGUUCAAUGGCUUCCAAUCCCAUGCUCUUUCCUCUACACCGUGCUGACUCACUUGAGGUUUUAACAGGGGGCGGCAAACACAGCUCCUCUCCCCUUGACCCUCUCACUCCCAAAGCCCAUAGGACCCUGCUGCAGGGUGGCACAUACUUAACCUCCUUGGGGGGGCCUCCAGCUCCCCUCUCUGUGUAGAGCCUACGUUCCCCGCUGUGCUGAGUCCUUGGCUCUGCUCAGCUCAGCCUGACCCGGCUGCGGUCAUUUGAAUCCCCAGUGCUGCCGCCCACCGGUCACCCUGUCCUGUCACCAGGUGGUGACUGGCCCAGUGACCCCCAAGACCACCCUCCAGAAAAGAAUCAUGCCAGGUGCUCACCUGCUCACUGCAGAGGGCUCUAAAUCUGCAACUCAGGUAACAGGGAAACAACUGAUUGGAGUUACCACCCUCAGGUUGCUAAGGCCAAAUGCCUGCCAAAUCCAGCGGCUCGGCUGGGGUGGACUCUGCCCACCAUCAGCAAAACCACAUUCACCAGGAGGCUUAGAGGUAAUUGCUCUGGUUAACUGGAUUUGCUGGGCAUCUGAAGGCUAACUUGCAGAGUCUUUCUAUCAUGCCAGACUUUAAUAGCAAAAAGUUAGAAAGACCUAAACGUUCAGCAGUAGGGGACUUGUAUAAUAAACCAUGGGUUAUUCAUAUAAUGGCACACUAUGAUGUCAUUCCAAAUGUUAUAGAAGAACGUUCAAUGACUGGACAGAUGGUUACGAUAUAUUAAGUGAAAGGUUCAGAAAAGUAAUACAGAAUAAGCCCAUAUUGUAAAAAAAAAAAAAAAAAAGAUUUCCUUUUUUUUUUUGGAGACGGAGUUUCGCUCGUCACCCAGGCUGAAGUACACUGGCGCAAUCUCGGCUCACUGCAACCUCCGCCUCCUGGGUUCAAGCAAUUCUCCUGCCUCAGCCUCCCAAGUAACUGGGAUUACAGGCGCCCGCUACCACGCCCAGCUAAUUUUUGUAUUUUUAGUAGAGGUGGGGUUUCAGUGUGUUGGCCAGACUGGUCUUGAAUUCCUAACUUCAAGUGAUCCACCCACCUCGGCCUCCCAAAGUGCUGGGAUUACAGACAUCAUCCACCAGCCCAAUAAUUCACUCCUGACCCAAUGAUUAAAAAAAAAAAUUUGUAGGCCGGGUGUGGUGGCUCACAAUGUACUACAUUUGUAGACAUUUUGGUGCCUUAAUGUGAGCAAGGGUUGCACAAGUUUUGAUAGGCAUGUAUUCCAGAGAUGUAUAGAAAUUCUAGUUACUGGCUGGGCACGGUGGCUCAUGCCUGUAAUCCCAGCACUUUGGGAGGCCAAGGCGGUGGAUCACGAGGUCAGGAGUUCAGGACCAGCCGGGCCAAGAUGGUGAAACCUUGUCUCUACUAAAAAUACGAAAAUUAGCUGGAUAUGGUGGCGGGCACCUGUAAUUCCAGCUACUUGGGAGGCUGAGGCAGAGAAUUGCUUGAACCCAGGAGAUGGAGGUAGCAGUGAGCCGAGAUUGUGCCACUGCACGCCAGCCUGGGAAACAGAGCAAGACUCUGUCUCAAAAAAAAAAAAAAAAAAGCAGACAUUCUAGUUACUUAUAAAUUUUUGGGAAAGAAGCCUGGAACUAGAUUCUUGCUUUAGAUAGUAAGGAACUCUAAUUGCCUCUAAAUUCCUCAGAUAAGGAGUUUUGCCUCUGGAUGGUCUGCUUUAUGGCCACCAGGUGAUUUUUGCUAGCCUUGGUGACCUUUUAUGUGUAGGAUUUUUUUUUUUUUUUGGAUACGGAGUCUCGCUCUGUUGCCCAGGCUGGAGUGCAGUGGCGCAACCUCGGCUCACUGCAAUCUCCCCUACUAGGGUUCUAGCGAUUCUCCUACCUCAGCCUCCCGAGUACCUGGGAUUACAGGCACCCGCCACCAUGCCUGGCUCAUUUUUUUGUAUUUUAAUAGAGAUGGGGUUUCGCCAUGUUGGCCAGGCUGGUCUUGAACUCCUGACCUCAGGUGAUCAACCCGAGGUUGGCCUCCCCAAGUGCUAGGAUUACAGGCAUGAGCCACCCUGCCCAGCCCUAACAGUGGGCUUUUUUUUUUUUGAGGCAGGGUUUCACUGUCUCCCAGGCUGGAGUGCAUGGAGAGCAGUUGUUCCAGCAUAGUGAUUACAUGGUUUUUAUAUCAUUCCAUUUUCUUUCCUUUGUUGGCUUAUUAGCUAUAACUCUUUCUUCUGGUCCACCACUCCCUGACUUCUUUCCCUGCUUUUGCUUUUUCAGUGAAGGCUUCAGGGUUUCCAGAAUACAUCUUUAUCAGUGCCAUCUAGUGACAUUAUACCUCCCCUUCUGGCCAUUAUGCUAGUGUUGUCAUGUAAUUUGAUUUUAGACAUGUUAUAAACCCCAGAAUCCAUUAUUAUUGCCUUUGUUUAAUCGGUCAAAUUAUUUUAAAAGAUUUAAAUAAUAAGAACAUGUAUAUUUAACUGUG